rnacentral:rRNA from 1 species
CCUACGGGAGGCAGCAGUGGGGAAUUUUGGACAAUGGGCGCAAGCCUGAUCCAGCAAUGCCGCGUGCAGGAUGAAGGCCUUCGGGUUGUAAACUGCUUUUGUACGGAGCGAAACGGUCUACUCUAAUACAGUGGGCUAAUGACGGUACCGUAAGAAUAAGCACCGGCUAACUACGUGCCAGCAGCCGCGGUAAUACGUAGGGUGCGAGCGUUAAUCGGAAUUACUGGGCGUAAAGCGUGCGCAGGCGGUUAUAUAAGACAGAUGUGAAAUCCCCGGGCUCAACCUGGGACCUGCAUUUGUGACUGUAUAGCUAGAGUGCGGCAGAGGGGGAUGGAAUUCCGCGUGUAGCAGUGAAAUGCGUAGAUAUGCGGAGGAACACCGAUGGCGAAGGCAAUCCCCUGGGCCUGCACUGACGCUCAUGCACGAAAGCGUGGGGAGCAAACAGGAUUAGAUACCCUGGUAGUCCACGCCCUAAACGAUGUCAACUGGUUGUUGGGUCUUCACUGACUCAGUAACGAAAGCUAAACGCGUGAAGUUGACCGCCUUGGGGGUAGGUUACGGCCGGCGAGGUUAGAACGACGAAGGAAGUUAGAGGCGNGAGACGNGCCGACGGACGACGACGAGGGAGGUAGGAG